UACGUAGGUGGCGAGCGUUGUCCGGAUUUACUGGGCGUAAAGGGAGCGUAGGCGGGCUUUUAAGUGAGAUGUGAAAUACUCGGGCUCAACUUGAGUGCUGCAUUCCAAACUGGAAGUCUAGAGUGCAGGAGAGGAGAAUGGAAUUCCUAGUGUAGCGGUGAAAUGCGUAGAGAUUAGGAAGAACACCAGUGGCGAAGGCGAUUCUCUGGACUGUAACUGACGCUGAGGCUCGAAAGCGUGGGGAGCAAACAGG
rnacentral:rRNA from 1 species